GCGCCUUAUGCAUGCAAGUCGAGCGAAGCUUUUCAGUAGUUUACUACAGAAAAUGACUGAGCGGCGAACGGGUGAGUAACGCGUGAGCAAUCUACCUUAGUUACAGGGAUAGCCCGAGGAAACUCGGAUUAAUACCUGAUAUUCUUUACAUUUCGCAUGAAAUCAAAAGGAAAGGUCAGCCGAACUAAGAUGAGCUCGCGUUCUAUCAGCUAGUUGGUGAGGUAAAAGCUCACCAAGGCAACGACGGAUAGCUGGUCUGAGAGGACGAUCAGCCACACUGGGACUGAGACACGGCCCAGACUCCUACGGGAGGCUGCAGCAGGGAAUAUUGCGCAAUGAGCGAAAGCUUGACGCAGCGACACCGCGUGUGGGAUGACGGAUCUAGGUUUGUAAACCACUUUCAGGAGGGAAGAAAAUGACGGUACCGUAAGAAUAAGCACCGGCUAA
rnacentral:rRNA from 1 species